rnacentral:rRNA from 1 species
UACGGAGGGUGCAAGCGUUAAUCGGAAUUACUGGGCGUAAAGCGCACGCAGGCGGUCUGUCAAGUCGGAUGUGAAAUCCCCGGGCUUAACCUGGGAACUGCAUCUGAAACUGGUUGGCUAGAGUCUUGUAGAGGGGGGUAGAAUUCCAUGUGUAGCGGUGAAAUGCGUAGAGAUGUGGAGGAAUACCAGUGGCGAAGGCGGCCCCCUGGACAAAGACUGACGCUCAGGUGCGAAAGCGUGGGGAGCAAACAGG